GGAGGGUGCAAGCGUUAUCCGGAUUCACUGGGUUUAAAGGGUGCGUAGGUGGGCAGGUAAGUCAGUGGUGAAAUCUCCGGGCUUAACCCGGAAACUGCCAUUGAUACUAUCUGUCUUGAAUACCCUGGAGGUGAGCGGAAUAUGUCAUGUAGCGGUGAAAUGCUUAGAUAUGACAUAGAACACCCAUUGCGAAGGCAGCUCACUACGGGAAUAUUGACACUGAGGCACGAAAGCGUGGGGAUCAAACAGGAUUAGAUACCCUGGUAGUCCACGCCCUAAACUAUGGAUACUCGACAUCAGCGAUAAACUGUUGGUGUCUGAGCGAAAGCAUUAAGUAUCCCACCUGGGAAGUACGACCGCAAGGUUGAA
rnacentral:rRNA from 1 species